AACGAACGCUGGCGGCAGGCCUAACACAUGCAAGUCGAGCGCCCCGUAAGGGGAGCGGCAGACGGGUGAGUAACGCGCGGGGACGCAUCCCCUGGUUCGGAACAAAUCCGCGAAACUGGAGCUAAUACCGGAAAAGACCUAAUGGGGAAAGAUUUAUCGCCAAAAGAUCGGCCCGCGUCGGAUUAGCUCGUUGGUGUGGUAAAAGCUCAUCAAGGCGACGAUCAGUAGCUGGUCUGAGAGGAUGAUCAGCCACACUGGGACUGAGACACGGCCCAGACUCCUACGGGAGGCAGCAGUGGGGAAUAUUGGACAAUGGGAGAAAGCCUGAUCCAGCCAUGCCGCGUGAGUGAUGAAGGCCUUAGGGUUGUAAAGCUCUUUUGCCCGGGAAGAUAAUGACUGUACCGGGAGAAUAAGCCCCGGCUAACUUCGUG
rnacentral:rRNA from 1 species